rnacentral:rRNA from 1 species
AUACGUAGGUGACAAGCGUUAUCCGGAUUUACUGGGCGUAAAGGGCGUGUAGGCGGUCUUGCAAGUCAGAAGUGAAAUUCCUGAGCUCAACUCGGGCGCUGCUUCUGAAACUGCAGGACUUGAGUGCUGGAGGGGAUAGCGGAAUUCCUAGUGGAGCGGUAAAAUGCGCAGAUAUUAGGAAGAACACCGGUGGCGAAGGCGGCUAUCUGGACAGUAACUGACGCUGAGGCGCGAAAGCGUGGGGAUCAAACAGGAUUAGAUACCCUGGUAGUCCACACUGUAAACGAUGAAUGCUAGGUGUAGGGGGUAUCGACCCCUUCUGUGCCGCAGUCAACACAAUAAGCAUUCCGCCUGGGGAGUACGGCCGCAAGGUUGAAACUCAAAUGAAUUGGCGGGG